rnacentral:lncRNA from 1 species
GUGGCGCUCUCCGGCGCGCACACGGUCGGGCAGGCGCAGUGCCAAAACUUCCGCGACAGGCUCUACAACGAGACCAACAUCGACGCCGCCUUCGCGGCGGCGCUCAAGGCCAGCUGCCCGCGGCCGACGGGCAGCGGCGACGGCAACCUGGCGCCGCUGGACACGACGACGCCCACCGCGUUCGACAACGCCUACUACACCAACCUGCUGUCGAACAAGGGGCUCCUGCACUCCGACCAGGUGCUCUUCAACGGCGGCGCCGUCGACGGCCAGGUCCGGUCGUACGCGUCCGGGCCGUCGAGGUUCAGAAGGGACUUCGCGGCGGCCAUGGUGAAGAUGGGGAACAUCGCCCCGUUGACGGGAACGCAGGGACAAAUCAGGCUCGUCUGCUCCAAGGUGAAUUAAUUAGCGGUGAUCAUCAACGAAAAUUCUGAGUGCAUGAGGGGACAAUAAUAAGGCUAUAUAUGCCACUGAAAUCGAUAUUUGUGCUUUGCACUGAUCAGUGAUCAUGUUCACGCUUUCUUGGAUCAAAUUGUGUCCGAGAAAGUGGCGUGUUUGCAAGAAUUUGAUCGUGUACACUGAAUUCUGAAGAGCCCUCAUGCAAAUGCCCGCGAGAUUAACUCCCUUGCCUAAAUAUGUCCUUGUGCUCGGUUACUUCUUUGCAAAACGCUGCAUGGUUGGAAUAUUUCACUGAGCUCCCCAUAUAUUGUACAUAUUGCUUAAAACGUUAUUAUAAAAAAAGAAGUGCUAAAAAUUUGGCGACAGUUUUUUUAUAAAUAUUAUCAAUUUUCUAGCCUUUGGAUUACCUCCAAGAUUCGUGCAGCGGGGAUAGGAGAGAAAAAAAUUGGCUCUUAACAAAACUAAUCGAUUUUCUAGCCUUUGGGUUACCUCCAAGAUUCGUGCAACAGUAGAGAAAAAAUGGAAGUGCGCAGGCGGACGUUGGGAAUCGACCAACUCUGUAACACUUUAUAAAUAUGUAAGUUUAAAUUCAAUAUAUAUAUAAAUAAGAGAAAAUAAUAAAUUUAAAUUCAAACAUAUAUGCUUGUGGAGUGAUAUGUCAUCUGUAUAAAAAAUAUAUUUUUUAUGAUCUUUUUGGUGACAUGAAAAUAAAUGCACCGGUCACACGUUUGCAGACUAUCUGAUCGUCCCACAAAAGGUGCAACAAACAUAAUAUUGUCAAGCUGGAUUGAUUUUUCUUCUAUAUGAAGUUAUAAACCACAAAUACGUACGUACACAUGCUGUGUAUCUCUGAAAAAUACGCAGUGUGUACCUGAAGCACGCCGCAGAUUAUUGGUCAAACAGCCACAAUUGUUGAUCUCUGCGCUAUGCUUAUUCACACUCACAGGAGUGUACGUUAAUUUGCUUCGUGGAUUUAUACAGAAAUUUUGAAGGAACCAUCCAAACAUUUUGCGCCGACCGAUCGAAACAUUUUUUGAACUCUUAUUGCACUGUUUGCCGUAGCUAGCUUGCAAAAGAACAACUUGGAAUAAAAAUGAAAUGUACACAUGCAGUAUGCACUGUCGUCCAUCCCUCUCCGCGCUCAUUGUGUGCAGCGUACCAAGUCGUCCACUUGUGUUCAUGUCGCCAUCGUCAUUCAAAUUUUGAAAUCGAUUUUUAACUACUACUACUACAUCAUUCAGUAUAAUUCAAUUUCAAACCUACAAACACACUUUCUGCAUGUUAGGGUUACUAACAAGAGCAAACUAGCUAAGGACUAAGAUAUUCGAGAUCACGAUUGUAUUAUCCUAAUCCAACAGGAUCAGGCCUCCGCCGCCAUCGCCUCCAAGUGAUCUCAGUUCAUACCCUCUCCUCUGUUCGUUCUUCUGUUUAUAUCAGUCUCAACACCUCAUGACAGCUGUCGGAACAGCACAACUCACGCACGCCAUCGCGCAGGAUGGACUUAGUUACUUGGCCCACUCUGGCCCGACAACACGCACACUGGGCUUCUUAUGACGACGCCCCCGGCCCAGGAUAGGUGCCUCCUCCCUGUCGCCCUGUAGCGCGUCAUCUGCCUUGCCGUCCAUCUUCAGUUCUUCAGAUUCUUCAGACUUGUCGUCAGCCCUCCCUCCUGGAGCCUGAGUCCUUCCAAGGCUUGGCCUGACAAUCCCCCAUUCUUGAAAAUUGGCUUGUCCCCAAGCCAAUGCUCGCGGAAAGCGAUUGCAUAAAUCCUCCAUAUCCUCCCAAGUGGAAUCCUCUGCAGAUGAAUCUGACCAAUGCGUCAGUAAUUGAACCACAACGCGAUUACCUUUUUUAGUCAGACGUUUAUCCAAGAAUUGGAGGGGAAUCUGAAAUGCUCCCAAGGAAGAUGGUAAUUCCUCUUGCACUGGUUUAGAAAACCCCACAGCAGCUCGUAAUUGGGACACAUGAAACACUGGAUGAAUGGAACUGCCAGCUGGUAGCUGUAAGCGAUAAGCAACAGAUCCCACCCUGUCAAGAAUCUGAAAUGGGCCAAAGUAGCGGAAAGCCAAUUUGUGACAAGCACGUUGAGCUACCGACGUCUGUACAUAAGGCUGUAGUUUUAAGUACACCCAAUCCCCUACUUUAAACUGCCUGAAACUGCAUUUCUUAUCAGCUUGAUGUUUCAUCUGUUGUUGAGCUCGAUGAAGAUGCUGCUGUAAUAACUGUUGCAUCAGCUUCCGCUCAUUAUGCCAUUCCUGCAAAUCAGUGAUCUGACAAUCCUCUAUAGUAAUGCCAAAGUGAGCUGGAGUGUACCCAUAUAAGACUUCAAAAGGAGUUUUGCCCAAAGUAGAGUGAAAGGAGUUGUUAUACCAGAAUUCAGCAAGAUACUACCAAGAUGCCCACUUCCUUGGAGUAGCAUGCACAAAGCAACGAAGAUAAAUUUCCAGACACUGAUUAACUCGUUCGGUUUGCCCAUCCGUUUGAGGAUGAUAAGCUGAACUUUUAUGCAGUUUAGUUCCAGACUUAGAGAAGAGCUGCUCCCAAAAUUGACUCGUGAAAAUCUUAUCUCUAUCAGAAAUAAUCACAUGAGGUAGGCCAUGGAGCUUGUAGAUGUGUUUCAUGAACUCUUGAGCUACUGCACUUGCUGUGAAAGGGUGGGAAAGGGGAAUAAAGUGACUGUAUUUGGAGAACUUAUCAAUUACCACCAACACACAAUUAUAAUGAGAUGAACGUGGCAACCCUUCUAUAAAAUCAAGCGAAAUCACUUGCCAUGCUCCAGCUGGAACUGGCAACGGCUGCAGUAGUCCAGGAUAUUUAGCCCUGUCUGGCUUGGCUUGCAAGCAAACUUGACAGGACUGCAGAUGAGUCUUAAUCAUUUUCUUCAUUCCAGUCCAAGCAAACAUGCCUUUAGCUUUUCUAUAGGUUACAGGAAAACCUGAGUGAUCACCGAAAGGAGUAGAGUGAACCUCAGUGAUGAUCCUGUGCUGCAAUGCAGGAUUGUCUCCCACCCAAAUUCUGCCCUUGUACUUCAAUACUCCAUUGCACAAUUGAUAGUGGGGUCUGCUGCUACCAUUGACAAUUAGCUCCGAAAUGAUCUGCUUGGUGUGAGGAUCCUGAUCAUAACCUUGAAUCAGGUCUUGCAUCCAUAGCGGUACACAUUCAGACACAGCGUGUAUCUCACUGGUAAAUGGCUCCCUUCUUGAAAGAGCAUCGGCAGCAGCAUUAGAAGAACCCUUUCGAUAGCAGAUCUUAUACUGAAGACCCAAGAGCUUAGUGAAAGCCUUCUGUUGCCAAGGAGUAUGCAACCGUUGAUCAGUUAAAUGCAUCAAACUAUGAUGAUCAGUGAGGAUAGUAAAUUCCCCAUGCUGCAGGUAUGGUCUCCAAUGUUCUACAGCCAGCAAUAUAGCCAUGUAUUCCUUUUCAUAGGUGGACAAGCGUUUAGUUUUAGGACCAAGAGCUCUGCUAAGGAAAGCAAUGGGAUGCUUGUCUUGAGAAAGAACAGCUCCAAUCCCAAGUUCACUGGCAUCAGUUUCUACAGUGAAUGAUUUAGAAAAAUCUGGCAAUGCGAGUACAGGAGCAGAGCAUAAUGCUUGUUUAAGUUGUUGAAAAGCAGUUUCAGUUUCCUCAGUCCACUUGAAUGGUAUUCCCUUUUUGAGUAAUUGAGUCAGGGGUCGGCUGAUCACACCGAAAUUCUUAACAAAUUUUCUAUAAUAACCUGCUAAGCCCAGAAAGCCCCUCAACUUCUUGAUAGUAGUUGGUUGGGUCCAAUUAACUACAUCUUGAAUCUUUCGUGGGUCAGUAGAUACUCUUUGAACUCCUAUCACGUGUCCUAAAUAAGAUAUCUCUUGUUGAGCAAAGGAACACUUACUUAGUUUGACCUUCCACUGACUAGCAGAGAGUAAUUGUAAAACUGUUCUGAUGUGGAGCAGAUGUGAUUCCAAUGUGGGACUAUAAAUCAAAAUGUCAUCAAAAAAGACCAAGACAAAUUUCCUUAGGACAGGGGACAAUGUGUCAUUCAUGGCAUUAAGGAAAGUAGCUGGGGCCCCAGUAAGGCCAAAGGACAUCACCUUGUACUCAUAAUGCCCAGAAUGAGUUUGGAAGGCUGUUUUAUACUCAUCUCCCUCAGCCAUUCUGAUCUGAUGGUAUCCAGCUCUUAAAUCUAACUUGGAAAACCACUGGGCCCCUGAUAAUUCAUCUAACAGCUCUUCUAUUACUGGGACAGGAUACUUGCUCUUGACAGUGAUAUUGUUCAACUGUCGAUAAUCAAUACAGAGACGCCAGGAUCCAUCUUUUUUCUUGACAAGAAGGGCAGGAGAAGAGAAAGGACUGUGGCUGGGUUGAAUGACUCCAGUCUUAAGCAUUUCAGUGACUUGUUUUUCGAUUUCAUCUUUCAGAGCUGGCUUAUACCGGUAGGGUCUCAAAUUGACAGGUUUGGCUCCUUCAAUGAGGGGAAUAUGGUGGUCACAUGUUCUCUUAGGAGGUAAUUCAGUAGGUUCAGAGAAUAGUUCCUGAAAUUCUUGAAGUAAGGGUUGUACAAUAGUGGGGAUGACAGCAUGUUCAGGAACUUCCACAGCAUUCAGCUGAACCAUACACAUGAUAGAUCCAUUCUUGGACAUACCCUGUAACUGUGCUCCUGUUAUGGUUGGACAGCAAUCAGUCUGAGGAACAAUGCCCUGAAGUUUCACCAGCUGAUGUUGAUGUUGGAAUUCAAGCCACUUAUGAAUCCAAUCAAUUUGCAUAGGGCUAAACUGCUCCAGCCAAUCCAUUCCCAAUAUCACAUCAUAAUUACCCAGUGGCAAUAACCUGAAAUCACUGGUAAAAUUAUGACCCUGUGUCCACCAGUUGCACUUAGGCAAAAACAUAUCACAAGCUAUCUGCCCUCCAUCAGCCACUUGUACCUUAAUGGUCUGAAGUAAUUUCUGGACACCAUGCAAUUUGGAGCCAAUCUUAGUGUCAAUAAAAGAAUGAGUACUACCCGAAUCCACCAGCAUGAGUAACUCUGUACCCUGGACCCAGCCUCUGAGUCUAAUUGACUUAGGAGAAUCGGUACCAUGCAAAGCAUGAAAUGAUAUUGCCAUCAAAGAAUCGUCAUCAAUUUCAGGAGUUCCAUCAGAACAGCUAUUUUCUUCACCUCCAGAUUGCAGGGCAUGAAUCAACUCCUCAACAAUAUGGAGUUGGACUGAUGUAGCACAUUUGUGAUCCUUACUCCAUCUCUCACCACAAACAAAACAGAGCCCCUUUGAUCUUCUGUAAGCUCUGAGGGCCGAUAUCUUAUCAUCCUUGGGCCUGCUAAACUCUGCACUCCUUUUCUCUUCAGUAUUUAUCAAGGCUGUACUCUUGCUAGGAAGGACAGACUGAGAAAAAUUUGAGGUGGAUUUAGAUUUAACAAAGGUUCCAGAGUCAUUUUUCUUGACAUUGAUAGCCUGGACACCUUCCAAAGCUUCUUUCUGCAAAAGAGCUAAAGUACAUGCAGUGUCCAGGUCCUGUGGCCUGUGCCCCAUCACACCAACCCUGAUAUUGUCCUUGAGUCCAUCCACAAAUUUGGUCACAAAAUAGAUAGGUUCAUUUGCCCCCCCAUAAGCCAACAAUUGAUGCAUGAUACUAUCGAACCUAUCCACAUAAUCAGCCACAGAAGAAGUCUGAGAAACAUGAAUCCACUGUCUAAUAAGAGCUUGCUGUCUGUCCCGAGAGAAUCUAGCACAAACUCUGUCACAUAAUUCAAACCAAGUGACCCCCAUCAACUGAGCCCUCACUGACUGAAGCCAGAACGCUGUGUUCCCACAAAAAUUCAGAGUGGCUACCUUGACCCAAUUUUGAGGAUGAAUCCCAUACACAUCAAAAUACACUUCACAGUUGGAUUUCCACAUGUGAGGGUUAUCUCCGUUGAAUUGCGGACAGGACAUGGGCGGUACAUUACCAAUCAUCCUGGCACUGAACCCCGUGUUUUCAAACUGAGAUCCCCAACCCUCAUUUGAAUGAUGAACAGGAGAAGUGGGGUCAAGCUCACGCGUACCUUUGGUCGGUGGUGUCGCCUUGUAGAUCGGCUCCUUCUUGGGUAACGCCACGGUCGUCACCUUGCCGGCGAAUUCAUCUCCUGAAGGAGGCUGAUUGGGGUUGUGCUCCAAUUGCUCCACCUUGUUACUCAGCGCCACCAGAUCGAUCCCGAGGUCAUCCACCUUCUUCUCCACCGCGGGCAACCUGAUCUCCAGAGACUUCUUAAGUUCUGCGAAAUCAGCUCGCAUGCGGGCCUCAGCCUCUUCCCGUUUCUUCUCGUUUUCCGCCAUUGACUUCAACAGCAAAUCCAACUUACUAUCCUGCGCCAUACCUCCACUCUCGUCUCGAUCUCACACACCAACUCACCCACGCUCCGAAUUCAGCUAACCUGAGGAAGGCAAGUUGCCUUUUCGCGGGGUCUGAUCCGAAGAACAGCCCCAAUCCUUCCCCCGGAAUUUCACAGCCGAAUCAAGAGAUUAGAGGGGCGAGUUUGGCUCUGAUACCAAUUUUGUUAGGGUUACUAACAAGAGCAAACUAGCUAAGGACUCAGAUAUUCGAGAUCACGAUUGUAUUAUCCUAAUCCAACAGGAUCAGGCCUCCGCCGCCAUCGCCUCCAAGUGAUCUCAGUUCAUACCCUCUCCUCUGUUCGUUCUCCUGUUUAUAUCAGUCUCAACACCUCAUGACAGCUGUCGGAACAGCACAACUCACGCACGCCAUCGCGCAGGAUGGACUUAGUUACUUGACCCACUCUGGCCCGACAACACGCACACUGGGCUUCUUAUGACGACGCCCCCAGCCCAGGAUAGGCGCCUCCUCCCUGUCGCCCUGUAGCGCGUCAUCUGCCUUGCCGUCCAUCUUCAGUUCUUCAGAUUCUUCAGACUUAUCGUCAGCCCUCCCUCUUGGAGCCUGAGUCCUUCCAAGGCUUGGCCUGACACUGCACAGCGCCUGUCAUUAAUUAUAUCUGCAGUUAUUAAGCUCCCCAGGCAUGUGUAUGUCCUAGCUCGCCUAGUUGACUCGAAAUAACUUCGACUUAGAGUGACUUAAUCCUUAUCCUUCCAGAUGAUGCAAAGAACCAGUUGAAGAUUUGCAUGACCUUCUUUGAUGCUCCCAUCUGCAAAAAUCACAGUCGAUGUCCAAAAUCAAUCAAUUAAAACCCAUAGUUAUUGUUGACUGGAACACGUACAGCUGUAAAAAAAUAUAUUAGAGAAUUAAUUAGAUCGAAUGCUCCAAACUGGAAAUCUAGCAGCAUGGGCAUUUGCCAAUUUCAAAUUUUCAAUUUGCAUUCCGUGUCAUGUAAUUGCCUGAUGUGAGUUUUGCCUAGAUUUGAGGCUGAUAUCUAGCAAGGAACCUCGGAAAAUUGCAAUCUAGUACUCCCAACGUUCCAGAAUAUAAUAAGUUUUAGAGUUGGAUACGGUUAUUAAGAAAGUAGGUAGAAGUGAAUAGUAGAGGGUUUUGAUGGGUUGGGAAGAGAACAUUGGUAGAUAAGUUGUUAUAUUUUAGAACAAAUUCUGAGAACUAAAAGUUGUUAUAUUUUAGGACGGAGGGAAUAUCAAUUAUAUGAGCCAUGCUCAUAACAGAAAAAAAACACUAUACAUAUUGACAUGCACAUUUGCUUCACGGUCAAGACUUGAGGCACACACGAAAGGCAGCCGACAUAUCGAAUACUGCAAAAUACUAUAGCUUAUAUAUAUAUAUAUAUAUAUAUGCUAAUCCGUCUAUCGUGCAUUACAGACAAAUUAUCUGUCAUGCAAGUUGAAGAAGCAAUCAUAGAUAUAUCGUAUAUAUUUUUCAGAUGUUCAUUUGACUCCAUGCACAACACUCCACAGAAUGCAGAAUUCUACGAUUCUAUAUCUGCUAUCAAAAUAGCACGAAAUGGCCAUGUGGCCAAAAACGACAUUACGAUAUGGAGGGCUAUAUAUAUCUGCAUGCGACGCAGGCAUUGCAUUGCAUCGCAUCGCAUUGCAUCUGCAAGAGUAGUAGUAGUGGUGCUCUGGUAGUCUACUGCUGCUUGAUCGAUCGAUCGAUCGCCAUGGCUUCUUCUCUUUCAGUGGCCGUGCUCCUGUGCCUCGCCGCCGCCGCGGCGGCGCAGCUGUCGCCGACGUUCUACGACACGUCGUGCCCCAGGGCGCUGGCCACCAUCAAGAGCGCCGUGACGGCCGCCGUGAACAACGAGCCUCGCAUGGGGGCGUCACUGCUCAGGCUGCACUUCCAUGACUGCUUUGUCCAAGCAAGUCCCUGAUCUCAUCGAUCUCAUGGCUAACUUUAGCUGCAGUAAUUAAUAAAUCUAUGUUCAGUUUUCGUUUUGCGUCUGAUUGCACUGUGUUCAGAAUUAGCUAAGUUAUGUGACACUGUCAAUUCAGUUGGACUGACAGAAUUACUAACGUCAAAAGGCUAGCUUUGGACUCGUCACUGACACUGAUACGAGAUUCCAUUUCCAAGCUUAGCUUUGACCAUCUCUAGUUUGACUCAAGUAAAAAGAGAGAGUAGGAGUUGAUAACAAUUGACUAUUAGUACUCGUAACAAUUAUUAUUAUUAUUAUUAUUAUUAUUAUUAUUAUUAUUAUUAUUAUUAUUAUUAUUAUUAUUAUUAUUAUUAUUAUUAUUAUUAUUAUUAUUAUUAUUAUUUUAUUUUGCAACUAGGACUGACAAAGUAGUAGUAACUGUCAAUUUAUCAGGGGUGCGAUGCGUCCGUACUGCUGGCGGACACGGCCACGUUCACCGGCGAGCAGAAUGCUCUUCCUAACAAGAAUUCUCUCAGAGGCUUCAACGUCGUCGACAGCAUCAAGACGCAGCUCGAGGGCAUCUGCAGCCAGACCGUCUCCUGCGCCGACAUCCUCGCCGUCGCCGCCCGCGACUCCGUCGUCGCAGUAAGCUAGAUCAUCAUCCUCGCCGCCGCACCGGCCGCUUGUGCGACAUGAAACUCACGACGAUUAAUUAAGGAAUUAAUUAAUUUCUUCUUGUGGUUGCAGCUGGGAGGGCCGUCAUGGACGGUUGGUCUCGGGAGGAGGGACUCAACCACGGCGAGCAUGGACAGCGCUAACAACGACCUGCCUCCUCCUUUCUUCGACCUCGAGAACCUCAUCAAGGCGUUCGGCGACAAGGGUUUCAGUGUCACCGACAUGGUUGCUCUCUCAGGUAAACUGAUCAAUCGAUCGGUUUCUGAAUUUUCUGAAGUCAUAGCUCACUCUACAUCGCGAUAUGACAUGAUGGAUGAUGCAGGUGCGCACACGAUCGGGCAGGCGCAGUGCACCAACUUCAGGGGAAGGAUCUACAACGAGACCAACAUCGACGCCGGCUACGCGGCGUCGCUCAGGGCCAACUGCCCGCCGACGGCCGGCACCGGCGACAGCAACCUGGCGGCGCUGGACACGACGACGCCCUACUCCUUCGACAACGCCUACUACAGCAACCUGCUGUCCAACAAGGGGCUCCUGCACUCCGACCAGGUGCUCUUCAACGGCAACAGCACGGACAACACGGUCAGGAACUUCGCCUCCAACAGGGCGGCGUUCAGCAGCGCCUUCUCGUCGGCCAUGGUGAAGAUGGCCAACCUCGGACCACUCACCGGGAGCCAGGGACAGAUCAGGCUUAGCUGCUCCAAAGUGAACUAAUAAUUAAGUAAAGAAUCAAACUGGAUACAAAAGCAAACACAAAUUUGGGAAUAAGGCUGGGCCAUAUAUGUCACAGUAGUAGUAUUUUACUAGUCUGAAAUGUUUGCUAAGAGUGUUUUCUCUGAUCAGCACAAAGUGUUUGAAACAGAUCAGGAAGCCCAUGUUAUGUACCGAUCAGUAUGGUUUUGAAGUUAUCAAGGAAUGCAUGAAUGAUAAUCUCUAACUGUCCCUUGCUUCAAUAUGUUUGGCUGCUAGGGGCAUUUUAGUUUGAUGCCCUCAAUCUUAAUGACAUUCGGAUGGCCCUUUCUUCGGCCAUCCUGGCCAAAAAAUAAUUAAAAAAAGGUUUAACGCCUAUCAAAAUACUAAUAGUCACAAAUGAAGACACAUGAUAGAAAUAGCACAAUUUUCAAUGUACAAGGUGUAUACAUAUUACACUGCACCAUCCUAGGAAAAUAUACAGUGAAAACCACCUAUUUGAUGAAAACUAUCGUAUAAAAGUCUUUAAGAAAAUCACAUAUCUAGAUAAGAUGAUAUUAAAGAACCAUAUAAAAUUGCACGACCAAAUUCAACUUCGUUCAUGAGAUAUAAAAUUAUCAAAUGUCUAUGAAAAAACAUAAUUCCUAUUUUUUUGUCUUGUUCUUCACUACUUUUCAUUCAUACAACUCAUAAAUAAAGUCGAGUUUGGUCUUGCAAUAUUGUACAAAACCUCCGUUUUUUAAUAGAUAACGCCGGUGGCUUUUUAUCACACGUUUGAGCAUUCGCCUUUAUUUUAAAAAAAUUAUGUUAUUAUAAUUUAUUUUGUUGUGAGUUGUUUUAUCACUCAAAUUACUUUAAGCAUGAUUUAUAUAUUAUACAUUUGCAUAAAAUUUUUGAAUAAUACGAAUGGUCAAAUAUGUGUUCAAAAGUUAACGGCGUCAUCUAUUAAAAAGGAGUAUAAUUCUCAAAUAUCAUCUUAUCUAUAUGUGUCAAUUUUUUUUAGAUUUUCUUGAUAAUUUUUAUGAUGUUACUUACAUAGUUUUUACCGUUGUGAUUUUCACCGUAUAUUUAUCCAUAAACCAGAGCCGUUGUGCCUAAGCAUAUAGGUCAAACUAGAGAUGAUCCAGAAUAAAGCCUAGACAGUUGAGGCAACAACUGGUGGUCAUUUUCCUUGGACUGGGAGAGCAAAAUGGUUGCAUAACGGUCAGAGCAAGAUAGAAUUGUAUUUGGACAAAUGCGGACCUUUUGUACGUAAUCAGUCAUGAUCAUGAUGGACCUACAUGUUGAUGUCCAGCUAGCUACACGAAAAUGACGUGCCAUUAUAUAGCUGCUGUUAUAUAUUACUCUAUUAAUUACUCCAUAAUUAAUCAUACUCGCCUACUAGCAUGGCUCUUUCCGAUCCAGAGCUUAUUUAAUUUGUCUGUUCUAGCUCAUCCAUGAUAUAAUAUGUAGUAUACUAUAAGUAACCAAAAUGUAUCACCAAACAUACCUAGAUUAGCAAUUUAGUGUAUCAAGGAAAAUUUAGCACGUCUCUGUGCCUUCAGUCUUCAGUAUCAUGAGAUACCAAAUUUACACUAAAAUUUGAUAUUUCUUGAUAUCUAUUAGGGACGAAAAUUUCUCGUCUCGAAUAUUAAAAAAUUUGGUACCUCUCAAAAACUAUAAAAUUUCUUGUCUUCAAUAUCACCAUAUUUAGCGAUUAAUCAACUUUUUUUAAUCAUCCGCAUAUUACACUCGACGAUGAUUUUUUUAAAAAAAUCUUGUGGGACUUUGUUUAUGUUUUGUUGCAAUUUUUUAUGUUCUACUUAUCCAAUAUAAACCUUGUCACUAUUUGUGUAUAACUGCAAGUGUUGGAAGUUAUAUUUUAAGUUAAUGUCAAGUUAUGGCUUUCAAUUGAAAAACAACACUAAUAUAUUCUGAUUUUGUUGUUGUAUACAUUUAAAUCUCAAAAGAAGGCCAUAAUAUUGUAAGAUGUGCACAUAUAUAUUCAUGAACGCCAAAUUUCCGUAUAAUUCUGACUAACAAUCAUAUUUCGUCUUUCACAGUACUGAUUGUAUGUAUUAUAUAGUGCUAUGUGUGCGUGUGCGUCUUCUGAUGAGCCUAGAAAGGCAACUUGCCAAGGGGAUUGAGCCAUAAUUUGCGGGAUGCAUGUAUAAUGUAUUCCAGCUUAUCAUGCCAUGGCGCACCAGGAAGAAAAAUCUGCCGUCCGACGCAUGCCGCCUGUUUAUCUUGACCAACAACAGCACAAUGGGCUAAUUAAUCAGCAACCAUUCCGAAUCAUACAUAUAUCAUAUUCAUGCUGCAAAUAUUGUAUACGUCCGGAGAGAGAUGUAUCGAACAGGCCCUACACUGAAUGAGUGAUAUACAGAGUUGGUGUUGGAUGUAGCAAUUUAAGUCUGACGCUAUCACAACUGCCGGAUGGGGGCAUGUAUGCAGAUGACGAAACUUCUAUUGUUCAGGUUGAACGUCUUGUACGUACGCUUGUAUGCCAAUGUGGACAAGUUGGACUUGGUGGUCACAAAGUUUGGAUGUUUAUAUCCCUACAAGAGUGGCAUGCUCGUGGCAGCGUACAAAAUCUCUGGCUAUAAAUAUGCAUGCAAUGCAGCAAUCUCUUGCAAGCCACAACGGCCAAGCAGAAAGUGCAAUUAGCCUGCAGGCAGCUAAUCAGUAGUAGCUUGCUAGCCAUGGCUUCUGCAACUAAUUCUUCACUUAGCUUAAUGCUGCUGGUGGCUGCAGCUAUGGCGUCAGUGGCAUCGGCGCAGCUCUCGGCGACGUUCUAUGACACGUCGUGCCCCAAUGCGUUGUCCACCAUCAAGAGCGUCAUAACAGCCGCCGUGAACAGCGAGGCUCGCAUGGGGGCGUCGCUGCUCAGGCUGCACUUCCACGACUGCUUCGUCCAAGCAAGUUUCACACAACCAAUUGUACUAAUUUUCAUGAAAUUAUAGUAUAUUUCGGACGAGAAAAUAACAGAGAACAUAUAUCUAAAAUCACUGCAGGGGUGCGACGCGUCAGUUCUGCUGUCCGGGCAGGAGCAGAAUGCUGGCCCGAACGUGGGGUCGCUGAGGGGAUUCAGCGUCAUCGACAACGCCAAGGCGCGGGUGGAGGCCAUCUGCAACCAGACCGUCUCCUGCGCCGACAUCCUCGCCGUCGCCGCCCGUGACUCCGUCGUCGCGGUAAGAAUGUCACAGCCCUUCGAUCGCCCGUGACUUUCUUUCUGUUGUUCUUUCACUGAUAGAGCUAGCUCCCUCUUGGUUCGCAGCUGGGAGGGCCAUCAUGGACGGUUCUGUUGGGGAGAAGGGACUCCACCACUGCAAGCGAGGCCUUGGCAAAUACCGACCUCCCUGCCCCUUCCUCUAGCCUCGCAGAACUUAUCGGCAAUUUCUCCAGAAAGGGACUCGACGCAACCGACAUGGUUGCUCUCUCAGGUAAUCCGAUAUGGAGUAUUAUAUACGAGUAUAUAUAUAGAUAGAUUAGGAUACCAUGUAUAUAUGUGUUGCAGAUUUUCUGAUAAGAUGAGAGCGCGAUUAAUUAUUUCGCAGGAGCACACACGAUCGGGCAGGCGCAGUGCCAGAAUUUCAGGGACAGGAUCUACAACGAGACCAACAUCGAUUCCGCCUUCGCGACGCAACGCCAGGCCAACUGCCCACGGCCGACGGGCAGCGGCGACAGCAACCUGGCGCCGCUGGACACGACGACGCCCAACGCCUUCGACAACGCCUACUACAGCAACCUGCUGUCCAACAAGGGGCUCCUGCACUCCGACCAGGUGCUCUUCAACGGCGGCAGCGCGGACAACACGGUCAGGAACUUCGCGUCCAACGCGGCGGCGUUCAGCAGCGCCUUCACGACGGCCAUGGUGAAGAUGGGGAACAUCUCGCCGCUGACCGGGACGCAGGGGCAGAUCAGGCUCAGCUGCUCCAAGGUGAACUCCUAAUUAAGGAGUAGUAUGACGGGAUGCGUUCGUUGCUGGAAGCAAAUCGUGUCGACGACGACAUAAACGGGCCACACCACAUAUACCCAUAUAUGUAGUAUAACCACAAGUAUAGGUACGGUGGUGUUGUACUAGUACACGUAAAGUAUAUGGCAGCCAGCUCGCUCUAGCAAUCCAUCAAGUGUAUGGAGCAGAGCAGCCAUGGCAUUAGCACCUAGUAUACCAAAAUAAAAGCUCCUCAUGCGAAGGCAUGCAUGGAGGAUUAAUGAACUGUUACCUUCACACACAUGUCCGUUCACAACUUCUCCAGACUUUUACGGUACAUCAAGCUCCGUUUUUUCAAGUAAACAACACUAGAUUAUGUUUUUUCAUUAGAUAGAGAAAAAAUAAAUACAACCUGCCCCUAGGAGCGAAAAAAAGAAGAAGAAAAAGCCCGUCUUUACAAAUUAUAUACUGAUAGGUAAUAACUCUCUAAGUCAUUUUGUUCCUGCCAUAGUCCAAGUCUUCUUCCUCUAUUUUUGCUAGGAGGGUUAUUGUCGUGGUCUCCUUGUUAGAAAUUUUGUUGGUUCCUCUCCUUCCGUAUCUUCUAGACGACAAGGAGAAUUAGGGAGCGCAAUCCCCGCUUUGGCAUAAAUGUCGUGUUUGGCACACACAUUGAUAGGGGUGGCUAACAAGCCGACUCGGCUCGACUCGUAAAAACUCAUUAAGUUAAUGAGCUAGCUUGGCUCGACUCGUUAACAUAACGAGUUAAAAAUGGAACUCGACUCGACUCAUUAAAAAGUCCGAGUUGACUCAUUAAACGUGUUACACCAAAAAACAUGGUUUGAAAUUCAUAUGCAAUAUAAUUUGUGAUUCUAUGACAAAAAUUAUGAUUGGCGUGCUAUGUAUCAUGGCUCAUAAGAUUGUACUACAAUGUAUAAUUAUGAGUAUAUGACUUUUACACCUGUAAAAUAUGAACAAUUAACUUCUAUCUUAGUGUAUCAUGAGCUCAACGAGCUAAUCGAGUAACUCACGAGCUAGCUCGAGUUGGCUCGUUAAGUAAACGAGUAAAAGUUCAAACUCAUUAACUACUCGAGUUAAGUCGAGCCGAGCCGAGUUUUACACAAGUUGAGCUAGCUCGUAAGUUCGAUUUUUUUUCCACCCCUGCACAUCGAGCUCUGUUUCGCUAUUGAUGUUGGUUGACACGGUGAACUUUGACUCUUUGAGUAUCAAUUAUCAAACGGUGUACUCCUACCGUCUUACGUGCCAUUGCCAUCCCGCGCGGCCGCACCGUCCCAAACUCCCACCGACGCAAGCAAGCGCCGCCCUUCCGCUUGGGCCGUUUUACGCCCGAAUGGUCCGAGACCUACCUAUUGGGCCUUUGGACCGUGUGACGCCACAUUUCGCUCGCAGUGUCUGUCAGACCAGGGAUGGUGGCCCGUGGGCGCUGAGCAGGCCGGCCUUUCAUUUAGUUCGUGUCACCUGUAGGCGGCUAGGCCGGAGGGAAACUAACGUACACUUUUGUUGUUAUUUAUAACUUUAUCGACUAUAAAUUUUGAUAAGCAACAAAUCAAACAUGCCAUAAUCAAUUAGGCAAAAUUCAGUAAUUUACCUUAGCAAAAUUUAGUAAUGGAAAAAUUAGGAAAAACUAAAGUUAUAUUCCCUCCUCCUCAAAAAGAAUACAAUUUUAGAUUUUAAAUUUAUUCCAACAUAUAACGUACUCUAUAGUAUUGCUUUUUCGUCCAACCACCACUCAUUCACCCAUAUAUUACUAACCUAGCUACUCCACCAUUCCCAACUGUCCCUCAUUUGAUGAGUGGUCGAGUAUUUUUCCUAUACUAUACUAGUUUGUCUUUUAAAUAUUACAAUUGUAUUUUUCUUUUUUAGAAUUGAGGUAGUAAAUUUGUAAACAAAGUGAACAGGCCACCAACCUACUAGGUGGACCACUGUACACGAUAAUAUUAUUUGUGCUAUUGUGUUUAUUUUAAUCUAAGUUGCAAAUCAAGAGAGUAUUUUAUUUCAUUCAAAAAGGAAUAAUUUGUGAAACACUCAGCAACUGUAUAAUAUUAGCCGUGAAACUCGGUUAACCAUAAUUUUUUUUCAAAGGAACUAUACGAUAAUUUAAUUAUUUUACUAUCCGCAUUUUAUGGCUUAAGAAACAAGAGUAACAUACGGCACAUGCAACAACCACCAUUCUAGCUAGAGCUAGAAAUGUCGGCCCAACUUGUGAUAGCUAAUUACGUUCGAAUGGAAAAUCAUAUCACCAACAUGCAUGGUUUAAUCAUGGCAACGCUGAUGCGAAAGCUCUCGCAGAUCUAUUAUUUUUUCCCUGGAGAUUGAUCGAAAAUGAUGGCACAACGGUAUGUAAUGCUAUAACAGCAUAUAUUGUCUUGUAACACACCGUUUGCACUUAAAUUAGACAAUUAGUCCGAACGUACAUAAGAAGAUGAAUUGCGAUAGACCAUUCUAGCUCGUCACGAGCUGAAUAGUUCUCGCACUAUUAUACCCGAGAUCAAUUAGCAGAGUAUUAAUAAGGUAAAGUUAUUUUCAUAAACUCUGUACGACGAUAGUGCAUACAUACCAAUCUUUAACAAAGGGACAAAUUAUCGACGGCAUUUGUAUGUUCAUGUGCUAUUCUAUGGCACGGGUGCUCUUUUUUUUUGGCUUAAGCAACGCGUGAUUAAUGGUUAACAGAUUAAGGUCAAGCGAAAUGGACCGAACUGACCCUACAUUGCAUGAAUAAUGCAGAGGUGAUGAUGUUGGCCGUAGGCCGUACGUAGAAACUUAUGUUGGACACACAUGUAAGUACUAGUAGUCUAGUAGCACUAAUAAAGUUAACUAAUAAAUUAUAUAUGAUGUCACUUUAAAAAAUACAGAUUCAAAUUCGAUAUAUUGAAGUUGAACAAAUUAAAUUCUAGCUAGUUAGUAUGCACACAUUCACACUCAUAUUUGUUUUUGUGUUGUAAUUUAUAGAAGUUAAAAUUCAACUUGCAAUUUGUUAGUAAAAACAUAACUAUUUAGAUGACUAGAAACAUAUCCUUCUGUUGUAAUGUGCCAGGCUCAUAUAAGUAGAAAUAUGCUAUUAGAAAAUUAGAGAUAGUACUCUGUGCGUGGUGGGAGGAGGGAUGAAAAAAUGACGAGUUCGAUUUUAAGGUAGUAGAGAUAUGUACAAAGCAAUAGGAUAUUCCUAUUGAGAUUAAAAUACAUUCCCCUGCCCAGCUCCCCUCGUAUGAUUAAUGUACCUGCAUAUUUCGUCUCAUCUCGGCACCAAUCGAUGGCGUCAAGCCUGUAGCUAAGCUAGCUAUAUAAGAUGCAGCGUGGCACCAGCCUCUCUUGCAAGCCACGGCCAGCGAAAAAGCUUAAAAAAAACUGCAGUUAUUUAGGUAGGAUUAAGCAUACGCGCACGGCGCAUCAUAUCGCUCACUCUGCAUGGCUUCGGCUUCUUCUGUCAGCUUAAUGCUGCUCGUGGCUGCAGCUAUGGCCUCAGCCGCCUCGGCGCAGCUGUCGGCGACGUUCUACGACACGUCGUGCCCAAACGCAUUGUCCACCAUCAAGAGCGCAGUGACGGCCGCCGUGAACAGCGAGCCCCGAAUGGGAGCCUCGCUGGUCAGGCUGCACUUCCACGACUGCUUCGUCCAAGCAAGUUUUGAUCACCUAAUCUAAUCAGCUGUACAAGUAGUUCUCCUUAGACUGUACUUUGAGACAAGGAAAUUAAUAACAGAGGAUGUAUCUAUGGACUUCACUGAUGAUGCAGGGCUGUGACGCGUCUGUUCUGCUGUCCGGCCAGGAGCAGAAUGCAGGCCCGAACGCUGGGUCACUUCGGGGAUUCAACGUCGUCGACAACAUCAAGACGCAGGUCGAGGCCAUCUGCAGCCAGACCGUCUCCUGCGCCGACAUCCUCGCCGUCGCCGCCCGUGACUCCGUCGUCGCGGUAAGAUCACGGAUGAGAUUACUACAUGAUGCAUAUAUUUCUUGUAGACUGUAGUAGUACGUACUCCUAAUCGCUCUUGGUUUGGUUUGGAAUCCUUAUAUUUGCAGCUCGGAGGGCCGUCGUGGACGGUUCUAUUGGGAAGAAGGGACUCCACCACUGCGAACGAAAGCCAAGCAAAUACCGACCUCCCUGCCCCUUCCUCUAGCCUCGCUGAACUUAUCGGCAAUUUCUCCAGAAAGGGACUCGACGUAACCGACAUGGUUGCUCUCUCAGGUACAUAUAUAUGUACACAGAUUAUAUCAGUGAUUGAUUCUCUUACAAAUUUUCUGAUAAGAAUCAUAAUACGAUGAGAACUUGCAGGCGCACACACGAUCGGGCAGGCGCAGUGCCAGAACUUCAGGGACAGGCUCUACAACGAGACAAACAUCGACUCCAGCUUCGCGACGGCGCUCAAGGCCAACUGCCCACGGCCGACGGGCAGCGGCGACAGCAACCUGGCGCCGCUGGACACGACGACGCCCAACGCCUUCGACAGCGCCUACUACACCAACCUGCUGUCCAACAAGGGCCUCCUGCACUCCGACCAGGUGCUCUUCAACGGCGGCAGCACGGACAACACGGUCAGGAACUUCUCCUCCAACACGGCGGCGUUCAACAGCGCCUUCACGGCGGCCAUGGUGAAGAUGGGGAACAUCUCGCCCUUGACUGGAACCCAGGGGCAGAUCAGGCUCAACUGCUCCAAGGUUAACUAGCCGGUGAUGACGAGUACGUGAUGGUCUCAGGGAAUAAAGCUAGGCCCCGACAUUGCUGCCAAUAGCGUGCAGCUAGCUGUGGCCAUCUCAUCACUUUCAUGGUUCAAUGGUUUCAUCAGCAAGUGCACGGAACAGACUAGAGAGUGUAGGUGUAUGCAUGUGUGAUGUCAUGUAACGAGUUGCCAUGCAAAGGCAUGAGGAUUACGGACCUCUCUUUCGUCGUAAUCCUAGCAGCUACAGAUUUCAACUGUCGUGUUAACCAAGUGAAGUGCUAGUUUCGAAUGUAUUGGCCCCUCUCUGCUCUUCUCUGCUCUGGCGAUCUGGCCUCUGCGAUGGUUUCUUCUGGGGAAUAAGUUCAUCUAAGUUCCCUUAACUUGUCAACGAAUCCGAUUUUUAUCCUUCAACCACAAAACCAGAUACAAUUGGUCCCUCAACUAUCAAAACCGGUGCAUAUUAUGUCCCUCGGCGGUUUCGAUAGUGGUUUUGGCUGACGUGGCGCCUACGUGGCUAAUUUUGACUCGGUCUUGAUCUGACGUGGCACUGAUGUGGCGCUUACGUGGCAAUUCGAUCCGGAAAAUAAUAAACCCCGUGGGACCCACAUGUCAGUUUCACACACAAUAAUAAUAAUAAUGGUGGGACCCACGCGGACCCCACAUGUCAGUCUAAUUAACCCCUCCUCUUCUGCUUCCUCUCUCUCCUCCUCCCCUCUCUUCGUCUCUCUCUUGCGCUGGGUCAUUCUGAUUCUCCUCUUCCCCAUCUUCUCUGUCUUCAUCUCUCUCCCCUCUCCUCUCUCUCUUCUCUCCGGUUCACGGGCGGCGGGGAGAGGACGGUGUCCGGCUGGGAGAAGGGGCGCGGCGCGGCGGCUAGUGGGAGGGAAACUAGCGGAUAGAAGGGAACCAGCCCGGUGGCGGAGGCAGCGCCGCCGCGGCCGUGGCUGCGGACGACGUCGACGUCGACCUCGGCAUCCUCGGCGGCGGGAUGAACGUGUCCCGCCGACCGGCCGACACACGCGCGCAUCCUCGGAGGUGGCUGUCCACGUGGGCGGGUGAGGGGGCCACCUCGCCGGCGGGAGAGGGGAGAGGCGGCCGGCUGCGAAGACGACCCUAGUGAUGAUGACGACCGUGCGGCGCGCGGCGGAGGCCGAUCCCGUGAGCAGGAAGCUCUUCGUCCACGGCCUCGGCUGGGGCACCAGAGCCGACGACCUCCGCUCCGCGUUUAUAUGCCUAAUCAUACAAAGGUAGAAGAAAUAGCGACUAGUACUAGCUGACUGGAGUAUAUUUUGCUUCGUCAUCAUCAUUUGCUUGUGUUAUGACGGGGUUGAUGAAUGAAUAAAUGAUCAUUGUUUUGGGCAAGAAAACACCGUUCCGGCCGGACUGACGAGGAACCCAUAUCGAUCCGCUCGCCGCGGCCCAUGGAAACCCAACAGGAGAUGGCAACGCUACCUUCCGCCGUCGGCGACUACUAAUGGUGGGUGAUGCUCGAGCACAUUGAUGAACUCGAGGUCGACGACGAGGACUCCAACUACAACUCCUGCUCCGCCGCUGCCGACGACACCGCCAAUCCCGUGAGUCCAUGACGACCUCGCUCACCUCCAACGGCCACGUCGUAAGAGUCUACUUCCGCCUCAAAGCGCCCCCGGCGACGUCACACCUAUGCCUCUGGCAAUCACUCUUCUCCAUUUCCGCCGCCGUCGUCGUCGCCGGCCGCAUCCCCUAGUGCAAGAGAGAGAUGAAGAGAGGAGAGAAUGAGAGAGAGGAAGCAGAAGAGGAGGGGUGAGUAGACUGACAUGUGGGGCAGCGUGGGUUCCACCAUUAUUAUUAUUUUUUUUUGUGUGUGAAACUGACAUGUGGGUCCCAUGGGGUUUAUUAUUUUCCCGGGUCAGAUUGCCACGUAAGCGCCACGUCAUACCACGUCAGAUCGAGACCGAGUCAAAAUUAGCCACGCAGGCGCCACGUCAGCCAAAACCGCCAUCGAAACCGCCGAGGGACCUAAUAUGCACCGGUUUUGAUAGUUAAGGGACCCGUUGUAUCUGGUUUUGCGGUUGAAAGACGAAAAUCGGAUUCGUUGAUAAGUUAAGGGACCUUAGAUGAACUUAAGAAGUCCGCCUGGAGAGCUGAAAUGGGCUGCACCUUUUAGUGUCCCCGUGAUGUGGCCCAACUACGCCUAGUUAAUGGGCUACUGGUCUGGAAAGUGGAUUGUAGUCCGCUUGUGUACGCUGGAAUAAGUUCACUUUGCGUCCCGCAUCUUUGAUGGCAAGUUUGAAAAUUCGUUGCUGAACCGCAAUAUCAAGUAUAGCCUGUCCCCGAACUCGUAAAACCGUGUUAACUUUCGUUCUAAUAUAGUAUGGCUCCUGAUUUCGUCCGAUGUGGCGCUUUGACUCUGGUCAGUUGUGCUGAGUUAGCGUGGGACCCAUGCUAGCCCGUGUGUUAGUAACUAACUCUUUCCUCCUCUCUCCCGCUCUCUCCUCUCUUCCCAAUCCCCAACCAGGAAGCAGGUCGCAAGCAGCGUGGAUAAGGUUGGCAGCCGACGUCCAGCGGGUGUGUGGGGAGAAGGGCGGCCAAGCCCGAUGCGAUGCAAGGAGCCAUGUCCAAUUUGAGAAUGUAAUUCGAACUCAAUGUUAAGAGGACAGAUCCCCGGCUGUGUUCGGGAGGAGGGGUUGGGAACCCCUCCUCUCCGGCAGGUAUAACGAAACAAUCAUUAGUGUAUAACUAAUUAAGUAUUAAUUUAAAAAUUUUAAAAAAUAAAUUAAUAUGAUUUUUUUAAAAAAAACCUUCCUGUAGAAAACUUUUGAAAAGAACGUAUCGUUUAGUAGUUUGAAAAGCGUGCAUAUGAAAAAAAGAGGAAAAUGAGUUGAAAAAAAAAGGGAAUAAGUGGACUUAUUCCUGUGUACGCCUUAAAUCGCCAUGUGCAUGUGUAUAGCAGGGUUGUAUGGCGUCCAAAAAAACACGCACACGGAUAGUUUUGUUCGGUUUGGCAUAACAAUUUAUAGCAUGUUGACUGUUGACCUCAUCCUGUCAGUCGCUCGGUUCAUCAUUUCAACUGCUUGUGCAUCACCCAAAUAAUUCGACUGGCUAAGGUUUAUCAGAAAAUGUGUGUUCGUCUAUUUUUUCUGGUAGAAGAUUUACUUCGGAAAUAGUUGUGGUCCAAAUACUGUCCAAACUCUUUUCCAAACGAGUGAGAAGAGAAAUGGUGGCCAAAUGGAAGAUGAUCACGUACACCAAAAAAUAGUAAUCUUAUAGAUAUAUCAUCAACUAGUAGUGCACAAGCUCCCACGUUAAUUAAAAAUUUUGAUCAAUUUAUUGUCUACAUGCCCAAUUAAUUAAUGUUUGAAUCCUAAUACAUGCAUGGAAGAUAAAAUUAGAACCAGAUAAUAAAAGCAAUGAUGUACUCACUCCUUCCCAUGUUUAUCCAUCAUAUAAUGGAAUUUAAAAUUUCUUAAAUCGAUCAUCAUAUAACCGCAUGGACACAGAUUUUAUCAAAAUACAAUUAAUACAGCAUGAAAGAAUGUGUACAUGCUAAGAUGUAAUUGACAUGGUGUUUUAAUCGAUACAUACAUUAUGGGAGAAUGUGUGCAUGGUGUUUUGAUUAAUGUGAUUUAAAUUAUACUUGGUCCUCGUGCAUAAACAUAUAUGAUGAUCAAUUUAGGAAUGAGGAAGUAUUUAGUUUGUGUGUUUAUAUGAGCGUUUGCACGACUGUACUAUGUUUUUAAAAAAUACUGUUACCUUUCUACUCCCUACAUUCUCCCAUGAUGUAUUAAUUGUAUUCUGAUAAAAUUCGUGUCCAUGCAGUUAUAUGAUGAUCAACUUGAAAAAUUUUGGAUUCCAUUAUAUGAUGAUUAAAUUGGGAAAGAGAGAGUAUUAGCUUUUUCAAAUAAAUAUAGGGGGGGGUGGUUCAGCAAUUAAAAUGGGGCUAACCUACCUGUAAACUCUAAACAGAAAUCUGUGCCUAAAGUGAAAACCACUUAUGUCGGACAGGUAUAGAAACUAAAAGAUAAUUAAAAUUGUCAACAUCGGUUUAUCCAGCCAAGAGGAACUAGAAUGCAAAAUUACUUUACAGCAAUGCAGCUCUGGCGAAACGUUGACAGAUUUGGCCCUCUCCCACACGAAUGCUGCAUAUGUUGGCUUGUAGCAGCCAUCGUUUCUAGCAAAUCAAGUCUGGUGUUAUCAGACUUGGACACAUGCGUACUAGUAAUAUUAGGGAGUCCCUACAGAGAAGUAGAGAACGACCAAGAUUUUGCACUUUUGCUGGCAUAUGUGAAGACAUAACUCCCGAAUAUACUUGUUGGCUGUUUAUCUCCAAUGUAUCUACUAUCUAGCAAUAUGCAGGCUCAUUUUGCUGGGAGAAAAUCGCGAGCUAUAAAUAUGCAUGCAAUGCAGCGUUUUCUCUUGCAAGAGCUGCUUAGACAGGAGUAGUUGCUACGAGUACUUGCUAGGAAGAAACUGCAGUGUGCUCUGUUCCAAAGAGUAGUGAUGGCUUCUGCCUCUUCUCUUGGCCUAUUACUGAUGCUCGCGGCGCUGGUCUCCACGGCCACCGCGCAUUUGUCGCCGACGUUCUACGACACGUCGUGCCCCCGAGCCAUGUCCAUCAUCAAGAGCACCGUGACGGCCGCCGUGAACAACGAGCCACGCAUGGGCGCGUCUCUGCUCAGGCUGCACUUCCACGACUGCUUCGUCCAAGCACGUUUCCAUCUCACAAACCACCCUGUUUUUUUUUUUUACUUUGAUUUAAGGCCGAAAAGUAGCUAACAGGUUUGCCUGUCUGUCAGACUACGUGAGUUAGCAGCGUUGCAAGAAAAUAAUCGUGGCUUAAUUUUUGUCUGAAUCAACACAGGGCUGUGACGCCUCAAUUUUGCUGGCCGGAAACGAGAGGAAUGCAGCCCCAAACUUUUCUGUCAGAGGCUACGACGUCAUCGACAGCAUCAAGACGCAGAUCGAGGCCGUGUGCAAGCAGACCGUCUCCUGCGCCGACAUCCUCACCGUCGCCGCCCGCGACUCUGUCGUCGCGGUAACCAUGCAUGCAUAUAUCAACGACACAAGAUAUCGAGCUCGCGAUUACGAAUUCUGUGAUGCUGAAUUGCUUUAUUUGGUUUUUAAUUUGGCAUGCAGCUUGGAGGUCCGUCAUGGAGUGUUCCGCUAGGGAGAAGGGACUCCACCGGAGCCGCUACCGCGGCCCAGGUGAUUAGCAGCCUUGCUCCUUCUACAGAUAGCCUCGCACAGCUCAUCAGCGCGUACGCGAGCAAGGGACUUAGCGCCACUGACUUGGUUGCUCUCUCAGGUGCACACAAUAUAUAUAACUCCUCGAUCGAUCUCCUAAUCAACCAUGGAAGUGUAGUAAACAACAGCUUGUGUUGAAAUUUGAAAACGAUAUGUUUUUGUUUCAAUUAUGCAGGUGCGCACACGAUUGGUAUGGCACGGUGCAGGGGCUUCAGGACGAGGCUAUACAACGAGACCAACAUCGACGCCGCCUUUGCGGCGGCGCUCAAGGCCAACUGCCCGGCGACGCCGGGCAGCGGCGACGGCAACCUGGCGCCGCUGGACACGACGACGCCCACCGCGUUCGACAACGCCUACUACCGCAACCUGCUGUCGAACAAGGGGCUCCUGCACUCCGACCAGGAGCUGUUCAGCAACGGC